rnacentral:rRNA from 1 species
AUUGAACGCUGGCGGAAUGCUUUACACAUGCAAGUCGAACGGCAGCACGGGGCAACCUGGUGGCGAGUGGCGAACGGGUGAGUAAUAUAUCGGAACGUGCCCAAUCGUGGGGGAUAACGUAGCGAAAGUUACGCUAAUACCGCAUAUUCUGUGAGCAGGAAAGCAGGGGAUCGCAAGACCUUGCGCUGAUUGAGCGGCCGAUAUCAGAUUAGCUAGUUGGUGAGGUAAAGGCUCACCAAGGCGACGAUCUGUAGCGGGUCUGAGAGGAUGAUCCGCCACACUGGAACUGAGACACGGUCCAGACUCCUACGGGAGGCAGCAGUGGGGAAUUUUGGACAAUGGGCGCAAGCCUGAUCCAGCCAUGCCGCGUGAGUGAAGAAGGCCUGG